AUCCUGGCUCAGAGCGAACGCUGGCGGCAUGCUUAACACAUGCAAGUCGCACGGUAUGGGGGCAACUCCAUGCAGUGGCGGACGGGUGAGUAACGCGUAGGAAUCUAUCCUUGGAUGGGGGACAACCGUGGGAAACUACGGCUAAUACCGCAUGAUGCCUGAGGGCCAAAGCUCGCGAGAGCGUCUGGGGAGGAGCCUGCGUCUGAUUAGGUAGUUGGUGGGGUAAAGGCCUACCAAGCCUGCGAUCAGUAGCUGGUCUGAGAGGAUGAUCAGCCACAUUGGGACUGAGACACGGCCCAAACUCCUACGGGAGGCAGCAGUGGGGAAUAUUGGACAAUGGGGGCAACCCUGAUCCAGCAAUGCCGCGUGGGUGAAGAAGGUUUUCGGAUUGUAAAGCCCUUUUGGCGGGGACGAUGAUGACGGUACCCGCAGAAUAAGCUCCGGCUAACUUCGUGCCAGCAGCCGCGGUAAUACGAAGGGGGCUAGCGUUGCUCGGAAUGACUGGGCGUAAAGGGCGCGUAGGCGGCUUGCAUAGUUAGGCGUGAAAUUCCUGGGCUCAACCUGGGGACUGCGUCUAAUACAUGCAGGCUUGAGUGUGAAAGAGGGUCGUGGAAUUUCCAGUGUAAGAGGUGAAAUUCGUAGAUAUUGGAAAGAACACCGGUGGGCG
rnacentral:rRNA from 1 species